rnacentral:rRNA from 1 species
UACGGAGGAUCCGAGCGUUAUCCGGAUUUAUUGGGUUUAAAGGGAGCGUAGGUGGAUUGUUAAGUCAGUUGUGAAAGUUUGCGGCUCAACCGUAAAAUUGCAGUUGAAACUGGCAGUCUUGAGUACAGUAGAGGUGGGCGGAAUUCGUGGUGUAGCGGUGAAAUGCGUAGAUAUCAGGAGGAAUACCGUUAGCGAAGGCGGCAAUCUGGCUGGAAACUGACGCUGAGGUGCGAAAGCGUGGGUAGCAAACAGG